AAGUUCCAAGUUUUGAGUUUAUCUUAAACACUUGUUACAUGGCACCUGAUACUUUAUUACAUUUCUAGUGGCGGACGGGUGAGUAACACGUUGGAACCUGCCCCAAAGUGAGGAAUAAGCCACCGAAAGGUGGUCUAAUACUUCAUAAUAUCCAUCUCGUAUGGAUUAAAGCUUUAUGCGCUUUGGGAGGGGCCUGCGUAACAUUAGCUUGUUGGUGAGGUAAAAGCUCACCAAGGCUUCGAUGUUUAACUGGUUUGAGAGGAUGACCAGUCACACUGGGACUGAGAUACGGCCCAGACUCCUACGGGAGGCAGCAGUAAGGAAUCUUCCACAAUGGGGCAACCCUGAUGGAGCAAUACCGCGUGCAGGAUGAAGCGUUUCGGCGUGUAAACUGCUUUUAUCACCGAAGAUUAUGACUGUAGGUGAAGAAUAAGGACCGGCUAACUACGUG
rnacentral:rRNA from 1 species